UACAGAGGUCUCAAGCGUUGUUCGGAUUCAUUGGGCGUAAAGGGUGUGUAGGUGGCGCCGUAAGUGCGGGUGUAGAAAUCGUCGGGCUUAACUCCGAAACUGCAUUCGAUACUGCGGUGCUUGAGGACUGGAGAGGAGACUGGAAUUCAUGGUGUAGCAGUGAAAUGCGUAGAGAUCAUGAGGAAGACCAGUGGCGAAGGCGGGUCUCUGGACAGUUCCUGACACUGAGACACGAAGGCCAGGGGAGCAAACGGG
rnacentral:rRNA from 1 species